rnacentral:rRNA from 1 species
UGCAGUCGACGGUAACAGGAAUUAGCUUGCUAAUUUGCUGACGAGUGGCGCACGGGUGCGUAACGCGUAUACAAUCUACCUUUUACAGAGAGAUAGCCCAGAGAAAUUUGGAUUAAUACCUCAUAGUAUUAUUUGAUGGCAUCAUUAGAUAAUUAAAGUUUCGGCGGUAAAAGAUGAGUAUGCGUUCUAUUAGCUAGAUGGUGUGGUAACGGCACACCAUGGCAACGAUAGAUAGGGGCCCUGAGAGGGGGAUCCCCCACACUGGUACUGAGACACGGACCAGACUCCUACGGGAGGCAGCAGUGAGGAAUAUUGGACAAUGGAGGCAACUCUGAUCCAGCCAUGCCGCGUGCAGGAAGACUGCCCUAUGGGUUGUAAACUGCUUUUAUACAGGAAGAAACACUCCCUCGUGAGGGAGCUUGACGGUACUGUAAGAAUAAGGAUCGGCUAACUCCGUGCCAGCAGCCGCGGUAAUACGGAGGAUCCAAGCGUUAUCCGGAAUCAUUGGGUUUAAAGGGUCCGUAGGUGGAUAAUUAAGUCAGAGGUGAAAUCCUGCAGCUCAACUGUAGAAUUGCCUUUGAUACUGGUUAUCUUGAGUUA